rnacentral:tRNA from 7 species
GCGGGUGUAGUUCAGUAGCAGAACACCCUCUUUCCAAGAGGGAGGCGCAGUGUGCGAUUCCUGUCACCCGCUCCA